GGCUUAACCCACUGAGCCACCCAGGCCUGCUUGGGACAGCUUUAAAGAAAAUCCCAAGUCAAUUAUGGAACUACCUUCUCACUGCUUCCCCUUCACCCCCAC